rnacentral:rRNA from 1 species
UACGAAGGGGGCUAGCGUUGCUCGGAAUCACUGGGCGUAAAGGGUGCGUAGGCGGGUCUUUUAAGUCAGGGAUGAAAUCCUGGAGCUCAACUCCAGAACUGCCUUUGAUACUGAAGAUCUUGAGUUCGGGAGAGGUGAGUGGAACUGCGAGUGUAGAGGUGAAAUUCGUAGAUAUUCGCAAGAACACCAGUGGCGAAGGCGCACAUCUGGCCCGAUACUGACGCUGAAGCGCGAAAGCUAGGGGAGCAAACGGG